rnacentral:pre_miRNA from 1 species
GGCCCAAAUCUGAAGUAAGGUAGAUUAAUAUUAUUCAGCUGAUCCUACUACUCUACAGUACUUCGAAAUCGGGCCC